CACAAAUCAAUGAAUGUGUUUGUAGAUAGAUGUUUUUGUGUUCUGUUAAAUUGUUAUACGAUGAUGACUGAUAUACCCAUAUUUUGACUAUUUUAUCUAUUGUGUCUGUUCAAAGUUUACGCAUCAAUGGAAAUAUAACGGAAUUAGAUGAGACUGUCAUCAAAGUGAGAGGGUUAGCGCUAUAAAACCAGGUUUAAUCCACCAUUUUCUACAUUUGAAAAUGCAUGUACCAAGUCAGGAAUAUGACAGUUCUUGUCCAUUCGUUUUUGAUGCGUUUUG
rnacentral:lncRNA from 1 species